GCGAACGCUGGCGGCAGGCCUAACACAUGCAAGUCGAACGAACUCUUCGGAGUUAGUGGCGGCCGGGUGAGUAACACGUGGGAACGUGCCUUUAGGUUCGGAAUAACUCAGGGAAACUUGUGCUAAUACCGAAUGUGCCCUUCGGGGGAAAGAUUUAUCGCCUUUAGAGCGGCCCGCGUCUGAUUAGCUAGUUGGUGAGGUAAAGGCUCACCAAGGCGACGAUCAGUAGCUGGUCUGAGAGGAUGAUCAGCCACAUUGGGACUGAGACACGGCCCAAACUCCUACGGGAGGCAGCAGUGGGGAAUCUUGCGCAAUGGGCGAAAGCCUGACGCAGCCAUGCCGCGUGAAUGAUGAAGGUCUUAGGAUUGUAAAAUUCUUUCACCGGGGACGAUAAUGACGGUACCCGGAGAAGAAGCCCCGGCUAACUUCGUG
rnacentral:rRNA from 1 species